CUUUACUAUAGCCUGGAAUUGGGUUCGGGCUUUUCUUGCGCAGCCCAGGUGGGAGGCUAUGAAGAUUUCCUUCCGGGGAAGUUGGAGCCAUCAGUGAGAGACCACUCUGGAGAGGCUAGAAUCCUAAUGGUGAUCCUUGAAUCAGGACACUUGACAGUUUCAGGUGGGCAGUUUUUCUGGGGCGGAAGCCUCAUAAAGGGUAACUGAGGCGCGCAAAGGUCCCCUCAGUCUGGACGGAAAUCAGACAACGAGUGUAAAGGCAAAAGGGGGCUUGACUGCAAGACCUACAAGUCGAGCAGGAGCGAAAGCUGGCCUUAGUGAUCCGACGGUACCGCGUGGAAGGGCCGUCGCUCAACGAAUAAAAGUUA
rnacentral:rRNA from 1 species